rnacentral:rRNA from 1 species
UACGUAGGGGGGCAAGCGUUGUCCGGAAUCAUUGGGCGUAAAGCGCGCGUAGGCGGCCAGAUAAGUCCGGUGUGAAAGUCACAGGCUCAACCUGUGAAUGCCGCUGGAAACUGUCUGGCUUGAGUCCGGAAGGGGCGAGUGGAAUUCCUGGUGUAGCGGUGAAAUGCGCAGAUAUCAGGAGGAACACCAAUGGCGAAGGCAGCUCGCUGGAACGGUACUGACGCUGAGGAGCGAAAGCGUGGGGAGCGAACAGG